UGAUGAUAUAUUGUAUCAGCCUUUUAAUAAUAAGUUUGACAGAAUAAUUAUAGCACGUCAUGUGCUACCUUGCGUGCUCAGCACUUUGUGCAGGUUAGCUCACUGGACACUCACAACCCCACUAUGAGAUGUGCGCUCUUGUUCUCCCUGCUGCCCGCAGGCAGUGGAAAUGGGCAGAGGCUGAGUGCCUUGUGCAGAGGUACCAGGAAGGAGCUGGCCUUUGUACCCAGCACCUUGACCCGGAAGCUCCUGCUCUGAACCCCUGUUACGCACAUGGACUGUACUAAAGAUUUCUGAUAACAUAGUACAGGGAAUUGCUGCCCUGGACCCAGAAGCACUUCUCAGUACCAAAAAACUUAAUUAUAAGAAAAUUUCAUUUUAACUUAACAUUCCUUCUCUAAGGCCAAGUAUUAUGUAUAUAAUAGAAUAUCAUUAUAAUAUAUAAUAGAAUAUGAUUAUAUAAAAUGACGCCAAGUCCUCUGUAAGUCUUAAAUCUUAAGAUUAAUACAUAUGAUCAAUGCACAUGCUAAGAAUCUCUAUACAAAUUAUGAGAAGACCUUCCUCAAAGAUCUGUGCGUACAAAGCCUCUCCUUUGUGAAGACCAGAUUUCUCCAGAAGGCUCUAAUUACACAGGCUGCUAUUUGAUGCUUUCACAAAAAGCAUUAUCUCAUGUUAUAAAAUAAUCCCUAUCUUUUUGACGUGGUUUGCAGUGGCAGGUCCAGAAGUACAUGUGGCAGUUCCUUGAAACUUUAUACAAAUGCCCCUUUUAGGUGUUUGCUCAUUAAUUAUGGUAUCGUCAUUGUUUCUCUUAUCCCAGAUGUUUGUGUGUGAGCUUGGGAGGAGUGAUGGACAGAGAUAAAGAACAAAGUGGGAAGAAAGUUGCUGAGCACAAUUUGAAUUAGAAAUGAUGAUUUUCCUCUCGCAUCAGGAAUUUGCAGCUUCUUUAAUUCAACCCUAGGUCUGUUCUGCCUCAGGACAAGUCACUUCCUGGUUUAUGUCCUUUAAGAUCCCAACUAGCAGUGCACCAGCCUGUGGUACUGCCUAACUGCAGCAUUUUUUUCUGAAUAGCAUUGAUUUACCUCUUUCAACCACUUUACCUGGAGAAGUUAGUUCAUUAGCCAGUUCACUGGCCACUUCUCGUCUCUCCUCCCUGACCUGUUUGUGCCAGUCAGCCAAGCGUCCCGAAGCAGCAGUAAGCACUGCAGCUGGUGGGUUAGCGUGCCACACUUCCAUAGGUUUGGCCCAUGAGGAGACGGUGAGCCCAGAUGGGUUUAGGCAGUUUAUUACUUACACAGCAGCAUAAGUAAGAUCAGCAUAGUAUCAACUUUCCACGUUCCUAAUCCCCCAGGAAGAUACCAAACCAGAGGGGCCAGAUGACAGACGACAUGAGUGGUUGGUCACUGCAUCAUGGAGGCACCAACUCUAAACUGUGACCAAGCAGUUCUCUAGUUUGCAUCCAUGCCCAGAAGGAGAGUGAGGUAGAAAGUCCCAUGCCUCACUAGAACCAGGGAGACAGAUGAGGAACUACCUUGUGGCCGCUCCUCCCGAGAAGGGCUAUCUUGCCAUGUCUCUGGGAUGGCCAUGGUGGAAUGGGGCCUAUGCAGAGACCUGCAAGGUCACCAGGGUGCCUUUCCCUACAGUACCUAGAGUGUUGUGUUUCUGUUGACAGUAUGAAAGUCAGUCAGCCUCUUGCCCAGGUUUUCACAGUGGCCUCCUUCCUUAGCUCUUUCCCGUAAAGACUCCUCCUUGCUUCCUGCGCAGUACCUUCUGCUUCCUCUGAAACCUUUACUCCCCUGUUGGUCCCUGUACUUCCUAUUUUGUGUCGCUACUCAUCUCUCCAUGUCUUUGUAACUGACACCAGAUAAAGAAUCUCUUGAGGACAAGUCUUGAAUUUAUACCUCUUUGUAAUCACCACAUGUACAUAUUAGAUAUUCGAUAAACAUUUGUUGAUUGGUCGAGAGAAAAGGAAUCAUUCAUUUAAACCUGAGCACAGAGUCCUUUUGGGGUUAAGUCUUCGUCAAAUCUCUUACUGAUGCUUGUUUUACUUAUUUGGCUGCAAAUCUCGUGAACAGUAGAUGAUCAUAGCCUUUUUCUGAAAGACAAGUACAGUGUCUCAGAGAAACCAACUCAAAACAUGCCGUGCAUCCGGUUUCUUGUGGCCUGUAUGAGUAGGUCGCUGUGACUGCAGUCUUGUUUGAAGGGGUUAAUGACCUCAGAAAGAGAGGCAACCUCAAUCACAUUUGUACUACUACAGACCUAAGAACCUCAGUGUCCCGCCUGAACCUGUACAAACUUGAAAAAGAGUCAUAGACCUACUCGCUAUUUUUUUAUGUAGUACCAUCUUUGAAAAUCUGCCAGUUCUCCCACUAGUUUACUGUAAAGACAACGCACCAUUUUAGGAUGAAAUUUCCCUAAAGGUCAUGGAAAUAACAUGUCCGCUGAACUUAAAGCAAAUAUGAAAAUCUAUUCAGACAGAAAAUAAUCAGGUUUUGUGAACUGGAAGCAACAGUUUAUCACUCAAGAGUAGCUUGCAAUUAAAAUGUCUGUUUUUUUAAUCUCUGUUCAUUCAUUCAUUCGCAAAAAAAUUUUUUUAGCACCUAUGAAAGCCAAGCAGUCAACAUGGAAUCUACAAUUCCCAGUGAGUCAACGGACUGUGGGGGACUGUGGAAUUCUGGAAGGGGCUCAGGAGGCCACCUGGAUGAUAUUACCUGUAGGUUAAAUAAACAUGUUCUGCCCAGAUAGGUGCCGCCCUGUUUUAAAGAUAUACAUAUGUGUCGUUGGGACUUAUAAAAUAGAAAUUCCUUUAAUAGUGAUACUAAAAUCCUGGUGGCUUUUUGACAUUACUUAUUUUUUCAUUGAAGAGGUAGCAAAAGUACCAGUUAUAGAAUGCAUGGGUCACUGAAUUUGUUUACAUUGAAAAGUGAUUCUCAAGCUCAAAAAAAAGAUAACCUGUUCCUUUCUGUGCUUCUGCUGUAACUGUGUCGUCUCCUCAGCUCUUCUGUGCCUUUGACUGUUCCUCUCACUCCUUCCUGGCUUGUCAUCUUACUCCAUGCCUCGACCGUAAGCUUCCCUUGACUUUCCAAAGUCCUCCGAACUUAUUCAGCUUUGUUCCCCAAUAUAAAUCUUUUUUUAAAUGUUUUUACAUUUUAGUACUUCCUAAAUCACAAAAUUCAACAGAAUAAGAAAUUUAGGUGGUUGGCCCGGUGGCAUAGCAGUUCAGUUCAUGUGCUCCACUUCAGCAGCCUGAGGUUUGCCAGUUCGGAUCCCGGGUGCAGACCUAUGCACUGCUUAUCAAGCCUUGCUGUGGCAGGUAUCCCACAUAUAAGGUAGAGGAAGAUGGGUACAGAUGUUAGCUCAGGGCCCAUCUUCCUCAGCAAAAAGAGGAGGAUUGGCAAGGGAUGUUACCUCAGGGCUAGUCUUCAAAAAAAAAAAAAAGGAAAGAAAUUUGG
ensembl:lncRNA